rnacentral:lncRNA from 1 species
CAAGCUUUGAGAGCAAAUGAGGUGACAUUAAAAUUAGUAUUCAAAAAGUUAUUUGUUCCUCUUACUUGAUAUUGGAUAUUCAGCCUCCUUUAAAAUACUUUUGUCUAAAAAAAUAUUUCCAAGUAUAGCCAAUGUUUCUCUCACAGACAGCUACAAUUCUGCAACCACCAACUCUUGUUGAAUCAGCUGAGCAGUAUCUUAUUUGAAGCCCCUCUACUGAUGUCAGUUUUUGCUGAUAUUUGCUCCACUCUUUUGGGCAUUGCGGUUAUCACCAGUUCACCACCAGCACAGCCAUCUCUACAAGAUUUUUGUUGUUUCAUCUUCUCAGUUGAGUACUACAUUCAUCCCUAUUGCUCAUCUAGGAAUGGCGGUUCACAUUUGGUGGUAUUACUGUUCUCCCUCAAUGCCAAAAGUGAUUUGUUAAUGGUGCCAAAAGGUAUAUUCCCUUAAGUGUUAGUGUUAUUUUGGAGGUGUCCAUGAGUGGUAAUGAUUGGAUUCUAAUAUUACAGAGAUGCAACUCUUACUUUUCUUUUCUUUUUUUUAAAUUUCUUUGAUUUUUUUUAAAGUAUAAUUGAUUUAUAAUGUUAUGCCAAUUUCUGCUAUAUGACAAAGUGAUGCAGUCAUAAUUAUAUAUAAUUUAUUUACAAUUAUAUACAUUAAAAUAUAUGUAAUUUUUAAUAUAUUAUUUUCUAUCAUCAUGGUCUAUCCAAGGAGAUUGGAAAUAGUUCCCUCUGCUAUACAAUAUGACCUGGUUGUUAAUUCAUUCUAAAUGUAAUAGUUUUGGAGUUCCCGUUGUGGUGCAGUGGUUAACGAAUCCGACUAGGAACCAUGAGGUUGAGGGUUUGAUCCCUGCCCCUUGCUCAGUGGGUUAACGAUCCGGCGUUGUCGUGAGCUGUGGUGUAGGUUGCAGAUGCGGCCCGGAUCCCGUGUUGCUGUGGCUCUGGUGUAGGCUGGCAGCUACAGCUCCGAUUAGAUCCCUAGCCUGGGAACUUCCAUAUGCCACGGGAGCGGCCCAAGAAAUGGCAAAAAGACCAAAAUAAAUAAAUAAAUAAAUAAAUAAAUGUAAUAGUUUACAUCUACUAACACCAAAUUCCCUGUCCAUCCUACAACCUCCCCCCACCCCCGCUUGGCAACACAAGUUAUUUGUUCUCCAUAUCUUUGAGUCUGCUUCUGUUUUGUAGAUAAGUUCAUUUGUGCCAUAUUUUAGAUUCCACAUAUGAGUGAUAUCAUAUGAUAUUUUUUCUUCUCUUUCUGACUCACUUCACUCAGUGUGAUAAUCUCUAGUUGCAUCCACGUUUCUGUGAAUGGCAUUAUUUUGUUCUUUGUGGUUGAUUCUUAUUCCAUUGUUUACAUGUAUCACAUCUCCUUUUUUCCUUUUUGUCAUUAUUAUUAUUAUUAUUAAAGUUUAGUUGAUUUAUAAUGUUUCUCCCUAGUAUAUCAAACUUAACAUACUUAACUCUUUAUCAAUGGGCUCAAACAAAACUCAAAUUAAGGUUUUAAAGAAUCUCAGACAUGCAAUAUGAAUAAAAGUAUAAUGCUUUUAAAAUAGAAAAUGAAAGGCUAAGAUUUCUUUUUAAAUACCAAAACAAAGAGCAAAGGUCAAUACUCAGUUAUCCAUCCUUAAGAUCUUUCAUUGUCCUCUGUAAGUAAUUCUCUAGUGAAUUGUAGAUGGUCUACUAUUGGUAAGAUAUUGAUACUGGGAGACAUUGAUUCUGACAAAAGUUCAGGCUUUCUAAUAUAGAAUCUUGUGCUUACAUGAAUUAUUUCUCUAUCCCAAAGAUGUAGGGAAGGACUCAUUGUACCUUUCCCACUUUUGUCUUUAAUGGAUAAUAUCUGGAUGUUUUGCAUUGUGUUGACAAUGGAAAAUAUUUGAAGCCAAAAUUUUAUCUUAUUGUUAUUAACAUAAAAGGAAAAAAAAAGCAAAAAGCACAAGUGAUUUAAAAGAAGUCUAACUUUAUUAUUGCUGUUGGUUGAUGGUCUUGUCUGAUCAAAAUAUAGCAAGAAGCCCUCAUCUAAGAAUUGACUAGGAUUACACAAGAGUUUUAUGGAUGUGACUGGAGUGUGAGAAUUCCACAUUGAUUGUACAUGUGUUUUAAAAGAUUGAUCUUCUACAAAAACAAAAUAGAAAUAAAUUACCCUUAUCCAUACAAAGCACAUUAUGAGCAAGAUUGGUUUUCCAAAAUCCAUGUUAGAUGGGAUUGUGGUGUCUGAAUGGAAGUCUUUACUUUAUGAAAAUUAUAAUUAUUUUGAUUUUUGUCCACAAUCAGCUUGAAAUGUUGCAAAACUCUGCAGGUGCUCGCUGUUAUAACAAAACCAUGGGAACAGAUGGUGCAAGGUACCAGGCCAGCUCAAGGGAUUAAAUGUGAGGCUUUUGAAUUUUAAAAUUAAAGCUCGGUGAUCUUGGGAAAAAGUGCCUGCCAAACAUUGUUGCUUAAAAAAAAUAAAAAUAAAAAUAAAUUAUCCAAAUUCUCUUGACAAGCUUAUUUGCAUUCAAAUGACUGAGAAAUAUGAAGUAGUUAUAAAGUACUCUUGGCAGGGUAUGGCCUACCUGACCAAAUUAAAAUCUGAAAUGUUCGCUUCCAUUAUGGUGCUAAGGCUUUGCAUGCAGGGACCCUCCCUCCUCUUGGUUUAGUUCCUAAUGGGAGCCAAUUUCUUUGGGCAAGGUGGUAACUUUUAGGUGCUAAAAUAAAGAUAAACACUAUCUCUUUUAAAUGGACAGAGUAAAGUAUCUUGAAUGAAUCACUGAUGAUGAAAUUAAAAAUUUACAUAAGUUGCUGUUGGUCAAAGAAAUGAAAAAAGUAAAGUUUCAAAAGUUAAAACAGUUAACUAAAUUUAUUUACUUUACGAACUAAAUCCAUGCUAAAAAUACCUUAAUAAAAACAUUUAAAAUAUCAAAGUUGUUAUUUUUGUAUCACUAUAUUUUAUAAUAAAAUGACAUUAUUAUACAUAUCAGCACACUUGAAUUGCUGUGUAGCAUGAAAUCUGUAUAUAUUAACUUUAACAUUCCCAAUUUUUUUACAAGGUAUAUACUACUAUCUAUAUUUGCAGAUGUAGAAACAUUCUUUCAUUCUAUUACUGGAAAGUAUGCUUUGCAAAACUUCAGUAUAAGAUUGGGUGAUUUUCGCUUCAAAUAUCUUUUUGUUUUUUUCAGUUUGCCAGAUAUAUUUGUAGUGUCUCAUCUGACCCCUUCAACAAUACUUGAAGUCGAUGCAUAGGUGGUUAUACCCAUUUUAUAUAUGAAAAAAACACAACUUUUGAGAGGGUCUGAGAAUUGCAGCAUUUUGUGUCACCAUGAAAUGACAAACCAGGCAUAAGGCAUGGGUGUCCUGCACUACGUUUAGUCUUAUUCCCAUCAGCUGACAGAAUGGGUUAGAUAACCCUGACUAGAAAGAGGCAUUUGAAGAUGUGGAUGAAUGUAACUUAGUCUUUAUCUUUUCCUUAAAAAAAAAAAAAUCUAUCUAGUGGCUUAACAUGCUGUCUUCUUUUCUGGGUUAUGGUGUUGGUCAUGAUCAUGGGUUUGAACUCUUUUUAUAUUCUCCAGCAGACUUUGAGGCUUCAAAGACAUUGAAUGAGUCAGACAUAUAUGCAAGGUAUUGGUCUAGGCAUUUGAGACCUAAGGAUAAAAAAGACAUAGACCCUGACAUUAGAAUAGUCAUGAUCUAGUUAAAUUGCAUAAUAUCUUAGUAUUUUACAUAUUUGAUUCCCUCUAAUAUCUUCAAAAAUAUGUUGAGUUAGUAUUGUUAUUCGUAUUUCAAAUAUGAAGAAAUUGAGGCUCUGAAAAAUUAAUUUAUUUUCCUGAAGGCACAAAGCUGAAAUGUGGGAACACUGGAAUUCAUAUAUAGGUCCAAUUGACUAAAGCCAGAAGGGGAGAGAGAGUAUAUACAAUUAAGAUGAAACAUAAGAAAGUGAGAUAAAGUGUCAGAAUUGGAAUAUAAAUGAAGUAAUAUGAAAACUGAUUGGAGGAAGCUCUCAGUAUAGGUAGUAACAUUUGAGUUGAGUUCUUGAAGCAAGAUUUUACAGCAUGAAUGGAGUUCAAUCCAGGGGAAUAGUGUCAGUAAAGCCGUGGAGACAUGAAAGUCCAUUCUGAGUUCCUGUUUUAGCUCAGCAUGUUACAAACCUGACUAGUGUCUAUGUGGUUCAAUCCCUGGCCUCUUUCAGUGGGUUGAGAAUCUGCUGUUGCCGCAGCUGUGGUGUAGGGCAGCAGCUGCAGCUCUCAUUUGACCCCUAGCCUGGGAACUUCUAUAUGGCACAGGUGCAGCCCUAAAAAAUAUAAUAAAGUUCAUUCUACACUGAGGAAAAAGUGGAAUAUGGUUUUAGAAAUCCUCAUAAUGGAGAAAAUAAAAUGAUAUAUAUAGAGAGUAUAUUUAGGAUGGAGAGGUUCAAGAUCACCUAUUUAUCUUGGAUUUUGGAAACCUCAUAAAUGAUUAGUAAGAGGAGUCACUGCAGAGCUGAAGCAUCUAUCUUUGCAUACUUUUCUCCCAUGUAUCUAAUGAAAUAUUUCUAAAGCUAAGCCUUAGAUUACAUAGGAAGGCUUGGAUGUAUUCAGAAAAAAAAAUUUACCUUGUUCAUGUUAAUGUAUUUUUCCUUCUUAAGGAGAUUUUUCUUUUCUAAGAUUCUAAAUUUUUCUUUUCUAUUUUCUUCUUGACUCAUUAAUAGUGAAAGCGGAGUUCCUGUAGUGGCUCAGUGGUAAUGAACCCAACUAGUAUCCACGAGGAUGUGGGUUUGAUCCUUGGCUUCACUCAGUG